rnacentral:misc_RNA from 1 species
GAUGAAGAACGUAGCGAAAUGCGAUAAGUAAUGUGAAUUGCAGAAUUCAGUGAAUCAUCGAAUCUUUGAACGCACAUUGCGCCCGCCAGUAUUCAGGCGGGCAUGCCUGUUCGAGCGUCAUUACAACCCUCAGGCCCCCGGGCCUGGCGUUGGGGAUCGGCGGAAGCCCCCUGCGGGCACAACGCCGUCCCCCAAAUACAGUGGCGGUCCCGCCGCAGCUUCCAUUGCGUAGUAGCUAACACCUCGCAACUGGAGAGCGGCGCGGCCACGCCGUAAAACACCCAACUUCUGAAUGUUGACCUCGAAUCAGGUAGGAAUACCCGCUGAACUUAAGCAUAUCAAUAAGCGGAGGA